rnacentral:sRNA from 1 species
GUAACGGCUCACUCCUGGAGGUCAUUGCUGCGCCUUACAUUUGGGAAUGCUGGAGUCUUUCAGUUUUCCUGGGAAACCAGUUUGUAGACUAGCCAUAAAAACAGCAAACCCUUCUGCAGGUGUCUGUUCAUACAAACAUUAUUGUUUUCCAGAAGGAAGUGGAACCCUCUGUGUAGGGCUGCGGGCCUGCUAGGUUUUUGUUGCAGAAGGAAUAGGUGAAGUGGGGUCUACCCUGCAGACGCGGUGGCGCCUCACAGCUUCCUGGUGUCCUUCCCCAGGAGCAGCAGCCAAGCUGGACAGAUGACCUGCCUCUCUGCCACCUCUCUGGGGUUGGCUCAGCCUCCAACCGCAGCUACUCUGCUGAUGGCAAGGGCACUGAGAGCCACCCGCCAGAGGACAGCUGGCUCAAGUUCAGGAGUGAGAACAACUGCUUCCUUUAUGGGGUCUUCAACGGCUAUGAUGGCAACCGAGUGACCAACUUUGUGGCCCAGCGGCUGUCCGCAGAGCUCCUGCUGGGCCAGCUGAAUGCCGAGCACGCCGAGGCCGACGUGCGGCGUGUGCUGCUGCAGGCCUUC